GCGAAUCUAAUUCGGCCGCUCGAAGGGCUGCUGCCCCAGAGAUUGUUGAAUCGCACGCAGAUCCAAUCCAGAAAUGAAUUACACGAACUAUCGCAGUCGAUUUUAUCUCCUUAACCUGUUUAAACGAUAUAAAUAAUAUAGUUUACGCAUAUGAUCAAACUGUGAGUGUUUAUAUAAAUUCAAAUUUUUAUAAACAUAACUAAAAAAGGAUAUCUUUUAAUUUUCCAGAAAUGCAUUCGAAGUCUACAUAUGAUUAAUCAAAAAUCAUAGUGGUGAGAAAGAAUUACCGGCAUUCCAGGAUAAGGUAGUGGACCGUCUUUCGGUGACACCGCGUAGAUAAUGUAUGCCAACUCCGAGAGGAAAUGUCCCAUAUUACUUCCUGUAACGGCUGUAACUCGUAAACCCUGUUGCACGAACAUUAAAGGAAAAUUUAGUACUUCGCACUUUCACUCUUUGUACUUCUUAAACUCUCGAAAAGCAGCGUAGCUAACUAAAACUAUGUGAUAAUCUAAACUGCGUGCAUAUAUCGUAAUAUAACGGGGAGUAUAAAUUAUGUUGCAUUUUUAUUUUGUUACGGUACCUCGAUUUUCCAAAUGCGAAACGUACUGCUGUUCCUCGGAACAUUCUUAAAGAUUUCACCGUUAGAAUCAUCGGAACGGCAGGUUCUGUCGUCCUGAGACACAUAAUUGAAAUUUGACUUUUAGGAAACUGUACUCUUUUUUAAGUAGGUAAAUUUUGUAUAAAUAACUUUUAUCAUAUGACAAAACAAUCUUUUGUUAUUUGAAUAAAUUUUGCAAAUGAAUCUUGUUUUGUACGUGCAAAAUAGUCCGGUAAUAACGUUAUCGCGAACUUUAAUCUCAUGGAUUUAUAAUGGGUCAUGAUAUCGAAUUGAUGUGGUCAUUGGUCAUAUAUGCGUUAUCGAGCAAAAAUAAGAAACAAGCGAUAUGGUAAAUGAAUCCGUGAAAUUACAAUUUCAGUCAUUUUCGCGGUAAAAUUAUAUUGACCUUCGUUUCUCCUGGUAGUGUGGGACAUACAAUAGCUCACAAAAGUAUUUGAAUACUUGUGGGAAUUCUGUUUGGAUAUAUCAUAUGCGUUAUACGAAACAUUAUGGGAUUUCAUUAGCACUUUAACAAGACACAACUACCGUGAUUAUAUUGAUAAAAUUUGAAACGAAUCUGAAGAUGUAUAUAGAAGUUGCAAGAUAUUUAUAAUACAUAUAAUAUAUUCAUUAAAAAUUCUCAUGAAUGUUUAAAUACUUUCGUGAGACAUUGUAUUCUGUUUUCUUUUAUACUUUGCAUAGUCCAAGUUAGUGUAAUAAUAAUACCGGCCCGUAUAUUCUCCUCACGCUUUCCUUCACUCAAUCGAAAUCGUUAUUUCUACUGUAUCUUUAAUUACACACCGGCUCUUCGAUCUUUCCCAAUAGUUCUGACAUUUGCCACUGUUCCUUGGUUUUCAAACACGAUUUUAUUUUUCGCGCUCUUAUCGAUCACUGACCGUCCGAUCCUUUAUGAAUUACUUGUCUAUUUGAAAAUGAUCGAGCACCUGCUUGAUCGUUUCUGAUCUCGAACUCGGAAUCACGACACGAGUGUGCGCGCCUGUAUUUCGCAACGGAGAAACGCGAUCAGUGCUCGCACUGAACGGUUGCUGGCAGAAAACUGGGGUAUGAGAACUCACGGGAGUGAGGUCCUCGGAAGGACUUAAUCGCAGGUGAUCCGUAAUCGUGUGUAUGUAUGUUUGUGCACGCAACUAUUAUAUGUAAGCCUGUUUCUCUCUAUGUUUAUGUUUGCGGCCAUAAUUGAACGGCCUAAAGAAAUAUAGCUGGCGAAAUAAUCAUUAUUUUUAUCAAAAAUUAAUUGCCGUGUACUUUUCACGGCGGAUGGUGUUUCUACUGGAGCAGAAUGUAAGCAAGAAUAAGUGUUACAGAGAAGCGGAUGUAUAUUGUUUCUGUAUCCGCAGAAAUAACUUCCAAUUAGACGCGGUGGCACAGUUUGAAUGUGGGGAAUAUUCAUAUUUGAUACUUAAUUGGUAACGAACAAUAGAUAAUUAUGGACCUUCCUGAAAAAAGGAUCGCGUUAUUUCGAUAAUCUCUGGACUUACUGUUACUGGAGUUACUGUCACUGGACUAAGCUAAAUCCAUAGACAUUCGUUUCGACACGAAUAACUUUUUAUGACUGAUUUGUUAAUUAUUUCUAUGCUUUCCACAGAUAUCUAUCGUGCGUUGUCCUGGUUUUGCUACAAUAUAUGUAUUUCAAUAGCGAUGAGGUAACAUGCUGCUACCUCCGGGUGUGCGCCGAUUGCCGUUAAUGCUCUAACUUGCACAUAGGUGUAGGUGAUGCAAAGUGCAACGUUCGCACGUAUACAACCACGCUAUUGUCUUUGCAGAUAAUGCAGAUGCAUCUCCACGUUCAUUCAUGUCCACGCCCGCACACACGUACGUUACGAACGGUACGUGUGUACACUGUACACGUGUUAUUCGAGCGUCGUCCGCGACGAUCAUUUGCGGCAGGAAGUGGUGACUGCACUUGCCGCACGCCCACUAACCUGUACAUAGCCGAAUCUCUCGCGAAUGAUCGCUUCGCGAGGAAGUAAAAAUUGUUGUUAUACAAGUUGACGCUGUUUUACCAGAUUUAUAGUGCGGGAAAAACGCUUUUGCUUUAGCAGUAAUACGUUUUGCGUCUUUGGUUUCACAUAGUUACGCUCCUCUGCAGACUUACCCGUCUAGAGAAAUCCAUCGUUCUUUCUUCUCCGUUUUUCCGUCACGUCAUUUAAAGGAAUGUAUACGAACGAAUCCGCGGCGAUAUGCACGAAG